rnacentral:rRNA from 1 species
UACAGAGGAGGCAAGCGUUGUUCGGAAUCACUGGGCUUAAAGCGCGUGUAGGCGGCCUCGCAAGUACUUUGUGAAAUCCCUCGGCUCAACCGGGGAAUUGCUGGGUAUACUGCGGGGCUUGAGGCGGGUAGGGGUGCUUGGAACUCUAGGUGGAGCGGUGAAAUGCGUAGAUAUCGUUUGGAACGCCAAUGGUGAAAACAGACAGCUGGGAGUGUGCUGACGCUGAGACACGAAAGCCAGGGGAGCGAACGGG